GACGUAGGGUCCGAGCGUUGUCCGGAGUUACUGGGCGUAAAAGGCGCGUAGGCGGUUUCUUGCGUCCCACGUGAAAGCCCCUGGCUCAACCAGGGAGGGUCGUGGGAAACGGGGGAACUGGAGGCAGCGAGAGGCUGGUGGAAUUCCCGGAGUAGUGGUGAAAUGCGUAGAGAUCAGGAGGAACCCCUAAAGCGAAGGCAGCCGGCUAGACGAUGAUUGACGCUGAGGGACGAUAGCGUGGGGAGCGAACAGG
rnacentral:rRNA from 1 species